rnacentral:rRNA from 1 species
UACAGAGGGUGCGAGCGUUAAUCGGAAUUACUGGGCGUAAAGCGUGCGUAGACGGCUAUCUAAGUCGGGUGUGAAAGCCCCGGGCUCAACCUGGGAAUUGCAUUCGAGACUGAAUAGCUAGGGUACGGUAGAGGGAAGUGGAAUUUCCGGUGUAGCGGUGAAAUGCGCAGAUAUCAGGAAGAACACCCGUGGCGAAAGCGGCUCUCUGGAACGGUACUGACGCUGAGACGCGAAAGCGUGGGGAGCGAACAGG